GCCUGGGUGGCUUAGUGGUAGAGCACCUGACUUUGGCUCAGGGUGUAAUCCUGGGGUCCCAGGAU
rnacentral:tRNA from 1 species